GAUGAACGCUGGCGGCGUGCCUAAUACAUGCAAGUCGAGCGAACAGACGAGGAGCUUGCUCCUCUGACGUUAGCGGCGGACGGGUGAGUAACACGUGGAUAACCUACCUAUAUGUCUGGGGUAACUUCGGGAAACCGGAGCUAAUACCGGAUAAUAUAUUGAACCGCAUGGUUCAAUAGUGAAUGACGGCUUUGCUGUCACUUAUAGAUGGUUCCGCGCCGCAUUAGCUAGUUGGUAAGGUAACGGCUUACCAAGGCAACGAUGCGUAGCCGACCUGAGAGGCUGAUCGGCCACACUGGAACUGAGACACGGUCCAGACUCCUACGGGAGGCAGCAGUAGGGAAUCUUGCGCAAUGGGCGAAAGCUUGACGGAGCAACGCCGCGUGAGUGAUGAAGGCCUUCGGAUCGUAAAACCCUGUUAUUAGGGAAGAACAAAUGUGGAAGUAACUAUGGACGUCUUGACGGUACCUAAUCAAAAAGCCACGGCUAACUACGUG
rnacentral:rRNA from 1 species